rnacentral:rRNA from 1 species
UACGGGGGGAGCAAGCGUUGUUCGGAUUUACUGGGCGUAAAGGGCGCGUAGGCGGCGUAACAAGUCACUUGUGAAAUCUCCGGGCUUAACCCGGAGCGGCCAAGUGAUACUGUUGUGCUAGAGUGCGGAAGGGGCUACUGGAAUUCUCGGUGUAGCGGUGAAAUGCGUAGAUAUCGAGAGGAACACCUGCGGCGAAGGCGGGUAGCUGGGCCGACACUGACGCUGAGGCGCGAAAGCUAGGGGAGCAAACAGG